CCCUCCCUCCAAAAGCUACAGCUAACAUGGUGUGACUAUCUCCUGGACCAAAUUCGAUACUUCAUUGCCCUUAAAAUUCUGUGGAUAGAGGGAUUUCAUGAAAUCGGAGCUUUGCCAGAGUGGUUGGGCAAUCUUUCCUCUCUUCAAAAGCUGUAUAUUGUGGAUUGCUGGAACUUGGUGCAUCUGCCCACCAAGGAAGCCAUGCGACGCCUCACCCAAUUGAAAAUGCUGGAGAUUUAUCAUUGCCCCAAUUUGAAAGACAAUGAGCGGUCCAAGAUUGACCACAUUCCAUUUGCCAGAUUCAAGAAUAGUGGGCAGCCAGAUUACUCUGAUUUCUAAGGCUAACUCAGGAAGCUGGCAAGACAUUUGCAUCUAAUUUACUUGAUGACAACUGAUGCCAAGGCACUUCAGGGACCUGCCCAAAUUAGAAUUUUAAGGCUAACUUGUGAAGCUCAGAAGAUGUUUGUGUCUGGGAAAUAACCAACUUGAUUAGAACUGAUGCCAAGGAACAACAGAACUGAAAAUACAGAGCUCUUCUAGAGAGAGAGAGAGAGAGGGAGAGAGAGAUAACGUGCCCCUUUCAUUCUCAUCUCUGAUCUUCCUUCACAUCCACUGCUGUUAAUCUACUGAUCGCGGACUACUACUUUUUCAAUUCUCUUUCUAUUAUUCUUCCCAACAUUGACUGCAUCUACCUAGCUGCAAGCUACUCCUAAUUUAGAAUUCCUUUUUGGCUGGCAAAUGGGAAGAUCAUACUGGUAGACGUUUAUGAUACUUUUCCAAUGUCAAGGACGCUUCACGAUUGUUUGGUGCCGGGUUAACUUUUUAUCUCUUCAAGAACUGAAGUUUUGGAACAAGAGUGCUACUACCUACCAGCAAAGCAGGAAACAGCUAUAAAGUUCAGAUAUAUGCUUAUGUGCACAAAUGCAUGUAUUCCAGAACCAUGCAAGAAUCCGUAAGCCAAUGCUUGAGUAUCAUUCGUCUGUCUUAACUUUCUCUGCUAUAGGAGAUAAAAGGAGCAACAAAACCAACAUAUAUCUGAUGGCAUAAAUACACUAUGACAAUUGCUCUACUUGACUGCAUGCAAAGAUAUGGUGACAAUACUAAAAACUCCUACCAGUCCCUCUUUGAAGCUUCUCCAAGUUGUGCUAUCUUCAUUGAAAAUUUUGUAGUACUAAAGUUGCUGUGUAUGAGACAAGAAAAUUUUAGAGAAAUUUUCUACAAAACCAGAUACUUUCAAGCUGAAAUCAAAUUCAACUCUAAUUUUGAUGGAAUUUCUUAAUGAAGAGAGCUUCGUGUUGAUUGGUGAUUGGUGUUACUUUAAAUUCCUCUCUGUUUGCUUGGAGCUAAAGCCCACGUGGUGGGAUCUUUUCUUCUUUUUACUGUUGGUAUUUUAGUGUGAUAAAUAUUUGCUGUAAUCCAAGAACAGCAUGUUUUUGUUGUCUCAGUAGCUGGCAUUUGUUCUAGAGAAGAUUGUUGUAAACCCAUAUUUUAUAGUGGAAGAUUUUACUAGACUAGGUCCUGUGGUUUUUCCCUUCUCAUUGAAGGGUUUUCCACGUAAAAAUUUGGUGUCUUGAUUACGGAUUGUUGCUGAAUUUUUUUUAUUUAUAUUUGUUAUUGUGCUUUGCUAAUUUA